rnacentral:rRNA from 1 species
UACAGAGGUCUCAAGCGUUGUUCGGAUUCAUUGGGCGUAAAGGGUGCGUAGGCGGCGUGGUAAGUCGGGUGUGAAAUCUCGGAGCUUAACUCCGAAACUGCAUUCGAUACUGCCGUGCUUGAGGACUGGAGAGGAGACUGGAAUUUACGGUGUAGCGGUGAAAUGCGUAGAUAUCGUAAGGAAGACCAGUGGCGAAGGCGGGUCUCUGGACAGUUCCUGACGCUGAGGCGCGAAAGCUAGGGGAGCAAACAGG